rnacentral:rRNA from 1 species
AUUGAACGCUGGCGGCAGGCUUAACACAUGCAAGUCGAGCGGGGUGAUGGUGCUUGCACUAUCACUUAGCGGCGGACGGGUGAGUAAUGCUUAGGAAUCUGCCUAUUAGUGGGGGACAACAUCUCGAAAGGGAUGCUAAUACCGCAUACGUCCUACGGGAGAAAGCAGGGGAUCACUUGUGACCUUGCGCUAAUAGAUGAGCCUAAGUCGGAUUAGCUAGUUGGUGGGGUAAAGGCCUACCAAGGCGACGAUCUGUAGCGGGUCUGAGAGGAUGAUCCGCCACACUGGGACUGAGACACGGCCCAGACUCCUACGGGAGGCAGCAGUGGGGAAUAUUGGACAAUGGGGGGAACCCUGAUCCAGCCAUGCCGCGUGUGUGAAGAAGGCCUUAUGGUUGUAAAGCACUUUAAGCGAGGAGGAGGCUCUUUUGGUUAAUACCCAGGAUGAGUGGACGGUACCCAAAGAAUAAGCACCGGCUAACUUCGUGCCAGCCGCCGCCGUAAUAC